CGUGCUUAACACAUGCAAGUCGAACGAUGAAGGAAGAAGCUUGCUUCUUCUGGAUUAGUGGCGAACGGGUGAGUAACACGUGAGCAAUCUGCCCUUGACUCUGGGAUAAGCGUUGGAAACGACGUCUAAUACCGGAUACGACCCUCGGAGGCAUCUCCUGGGGGUGGAAAGAAUUUUGGUCAAGGAUGAGCUCGCGGCCUAUCAGCUUGUUGGUGAGGUAAUGGCUCACCAAGGCGACGACGGGUAGCCGGCCUGAGAGGGUGACCGGCCACACUGGGACUGAGACACGGCCCAGACUCCUACGGGAGGCAGCAGUGGGGAAUAUUGCACAAUGGGCGAAAGCCUGAUGCAGCAACGCCGCGUGAGGGAUGACGGCCUUCGGGUUGUAAACCUCUUUUAGUAGGGAAGAAGCGAAAGUGACGGUACCUGCAGAAAAAGCACCGGCUAACUACGUGCCAGCAGCCGCGGUAAUACGUAGGGUGCAAGCGUUGUCCGGAAUUAUUGGGCGUAAAGAGCUCGUAGGCGGUUUGUCGCGUCUGCUGUGAAAUCUGGGGGCUCAACCCCCAGCCUGCAGUGGGUACGGGCAGACUAGAGUGCGGUAGGGGAGAUUGGAAUUCCUGGUGUAGCGGUGGAAUGCGCAGAUAUCAGGAGGAACACCGAUGGCGAAGGCAGAUCUCUGGGCCGUAACUGACGCUGAGGAGCGAAAGCAUGGGGAGCGAACAGGAUUAGAUACCCUGGUAGUCCAUGCCGUAAACGUUGGGAACUAGAUGUG
rnacentral:rRNA from 1 species